UACGUAGGGUGCGAGCGUUGUCCGGAAUUACUGGGCGUAAAGAGCUCGUAGGUGGUUUGUCGCGUUGUUCGUGAAAACUCACAGCUCAACUGUGGGCGUGCGGGCGAUACGGGCAGACUGGAGUACUGCAGGGGAGACUGGAAUUCCUGGUGUAGCGGUGGAAUGCGCAGAGUAUCAGGAGGAACACCGGUGGCGAAGGCGGGGUCUCUGGGCAGUAACUGACGCUGGAGGAGCGAAAGCGUGGGGAGCGAACAGG
rnacentral:rRNA from 1 species